CCCCCCCCCCCCCCCCCCCCGCCCCCGCACCAUUGCCGGCCUCCACCCCCGCAUCGACGACGAGGAGCCCCGAGUACCCACGCCUCCCUGCCCUCAGGUGGCUCUUGUUCCUCGCUACCUAGAUCCGCGUCGCCCCAUCCACUCUCUCGCCCGAACCACACGCCGCACCGAUCCCGCACCCGCACAGCCCAUCGGCGACCUUGUCGGAGAAGAGAGAAGAAGGUGAGAGAUGGAAGCGGCGGCGACCGCGGCCGGCGUGCAGCUGGGCUCCUCAAAGCCGCAGAUCGUGACCCAGCUGGGCUCCUCCGCCGACCCGCGCCAAGUUCCUCGAGGAGUUCGCGCGGCGGUUCGACCUCCUCGGGCUGGUCCGAUUCGGGACGGAGGUAGUGAGCGUCUGCCGUAGCAGGGCCGACGACGUGGGAUGGAGGGUGAGGCUCGCCUGCGCUAGCAGCGAGCUGGAGGAGGAGGUUUGACGCCGUUAGAUCAAUUGUCGGAUGCCAUGGGCGCCAGUCGGAAGCUGUAGGGUGAGAUCGACCGCGUCCUCAAGAAGGUCUAGGAGGGCGUCGACGUCUUUGACAACAUCUGGAACAACGCAUGCACGCACGCGCCGCCUUCUUUCCUCUCCCCAACCCCCACGCUAGAUUCUCAUGAUUUUGUGCGAUUUUUGGGGCAGGUCUAUGACACCGAGAAUGCAAACCAGAAGGAGAAGUUCGAGGCGGACCUCAAGAAGGAGAUCAAGAAGCUGCAGCACUACUAGGACUAGAUCAAGACCUGGAUUCAGUCCAGUGAGAUCAAGGACAAGAAGGUGACCCCUCUAUAAACAGAUCAAGGACCAUGAUCUGUUUGGUGAUGUUUUCGAUACCUUGGUAUGGGAUGAAGUGAAGAGUGUGGAGUCACUUGACCUUCGGUACCCGCGUGUGCUCUACCGACCGCCAUGACGGGCGUUCGCCGUUUUGCCGCCUUCUUCCACCUCCGCCUCUUCCCACCUCUUCUUUGUUGGGUGUAGUUGAAAUCCGUGACAACAAGCUAGCUAGCUAGCAACCAUUUUUCUUGCCGUGUCCAUAUAUAUACAUCCUUCUCCAUUGUAGAUCCAUUGUAUUUGUAUGCUGCUAUAUUAUGUCAAGUUGAGUGAAGCAAACAUAUCAUUGUGUGUGUUAUCAUCUCCUAAUGCUCCUACUAGCUUUCUGACGUUGGCAAAUGAUCUGACUCCUCUCACUUGGCCUAGGAGGAACACCACUGAUGAUGAGAGCAGAUCCUUUCCCUUAAUAGAUUAGCAUCAUUCCAUUCUUACUUUGUAGUAGAAUUGGUAGUGAUAGAGUGGGUGAAUCUAUGUGAUGUAGAGAUACACUAAGAUCAUGCAAAUAUAUAUAUUAGUUCUGCUAAUGCUUACCAGUGAAUUCAAGUCUGCUUAUUUGAAGGUCCAACGCUUGUGCAUACUGAUUUGUGUCCUCUGUGAUUUGGGGAGAGGAAAUAGUAAUGUUGCCAAUUGAUGUAGUGGUUUGCGAUUCGGAUCAACUAAAGUGAAAGUGAGAUAUUGAGAUGUGGAUCACACUAGUGCUAUUUCAGUAUUUCUUGCUUGCUUGUUUGCUUCUUCUUUCUGCUGAAGCAGGUGAGCUGAUUUUCUGCUUUUGGUUUCUGCAGCAAUUGGAGGAAUUGGUGUCGAGGACUGGACCAGAUGUGCCUUGAUGCGUGAUCUACAGCGCCCUUGAUCUCAGGACCAUGAGCGGAGGCUGGAGCAGAUCCGAAGGGCGUUCUAGGGCCUCGAGGGCUCCCACAUAUGUCCCUUCCAGUAUGCUUCGACAGGAGCAUCUGCGGAGAGGGUCAUGGAGUGGGUCUCAGAGCUGGCUCAUCCACUUGGAGGUUAUGAGAUAUGCUGCUUGAGAGAUGACGUUAGCAAACUGGAAGGGCUGCAACCAAAUCCAAUCAACAACAUGGUAGUGGUCUCUGAAUAUCUAAGCUAGUGAUAAUCUUUUCAGCGAUUCCUUUUUUGUUUGGCCUUCUUGUAGUGUAUAUUAGUAGUUGCUGGAGCUGUGAUGGUGAUCUUUUUUUCUGACUGGCUGUUUGUUAUAGAUGACAAAUCUUUUGGUUGCCGCUUCUUAUGUAUUGAUAAUGUGAUGAAGAUGUAACUGCAACAAAUGAUGUCUGAUUGUACAGAGAAACAAAUGUUGCUUUGAUGGCAAAACUGAAAAACACUGAAUUGUUUCUCUA